GACGAACGCUGGCGGCGUGCUUAACACAUGCAAGUCGAACGGAAAGGCCCUGCUUUUGUGGGGUGCUCGAGUGGCGAACGGGUGAGUAACACGUGAGUAACCUGCCCUUGACUUUGGGAUAACUUCAGGAAACUGGGGCUAAUACCGGAUAGGAGCUCCUGCUGCAUGGUGGGGGUUGGAAAGUUUCGGCGGUUGGGGAUGGACUCGCGGCUUAUCAGCUUGUUGGUGGGGUAGUGGCUUACCAAGGCUUUGACGGGUAGCCGGCCUGAGAGGGUGACCGGCAACAUUGGGACUGAGAUACGGCCCAGACUCCUACGGGAGGGAGAAGUGAGGAAUAUUGCACAAUGAGCGGAAGCCUGAUGCAGCAACGCCGCGUGCGGGAUGACGGCCUUCGGGUUGUAAACCGCUUUCGCCUGUGACGAAGCGUGAGUGACGGUAAUGGGUAAAGAAGCACCGGCUAACUAAGUG
rnacentral:rRNA from 1 species